rnacentral:tRNA from 1 species
AGGGUUAUAGUUAAAUUAACAUUUGAUUUGCAUUCAAAAAAUAUUGAUAAACUCAAUUUUCCUUA